AUUGAACGCUGGCGGCAUGCUUUACACAUGCAAGUCGAACGGUAACAGGUUAAGCUGACGAGUGGCGAACGGGUGAGUAAUGCAUCGGAACGUGCCCGAUCGUGGGGGAUAACGCAGCGAAAGCUGCGCUAAUACCGCAUACGAUCUGAGGAUGAAAGCGGGGGACCGUAAGGCCUCGCGCGAUCGGAGCGGCCGAUGUCAGAUUAGGUAGUUGGUGGGGUAAAGGCUCACCAAGCCGACGAUCUGUAGCUGGUCUGAGAGGACGACCAGCCACACUGGGACUGAGACACGGCCCAGACUCCUACGGGAGGCAGCAGUGGGGAAUUUUGGACAAUGGGGGCAACCCUGAUCCAGCCAUGCCGCGUGCGGGAAGAAGGCCUUCGGGUUGUAAACCGCUUUUGUCAGGGAAGAAACGCUCUGAGUUAAUACCUCGGGGUAAUGACGGUACCUGAAGAAUAAGCACCGGCUAACUACGUGCCAGCCGCCGCCGUAAUAC
rnacentral:rRNA from 1 species